rnacentral:tRNA from 1 species
GAGGAUGUAGCCCAGUGGUAAAGCAUUUGCCUAGCAUCCCAAUGUCCUGAGUUCCAUCCUCAGCACCCCCU